AACCAGGAGUAGAGGGUGGGCCCAGGUUCCCCUGCCAGCUACUGGGGAAGUGGUGCGAACCAGACAGUGGAGAGCGGACUGCCUGGGACAGUUUGCCCAGGACAGCUUUGAUACCCCAGAAGGGGAGGACCAUAGUGCCCUGGCCAGAGGGCUGAGUCACAAAGAAGAAGUUGCAGCUCCUGGAGCGAGAGGGGCCAAAGGGCAAGACAGGACAGGUGAACAGACUGCCAGAGGGGGUGCAGCACUUGGAAACAAUUAAUCCCCAAAGCGGCCAGGGGGAGGCACCCUAAUGAUCAAAAUUGACUGUGAUCAGCUUGGUCUCUGGAUCUCGUCUUAUAACUGGCCGGGUGAGAUUAUACUGUGAUUUUUCAGACACUGUCUGGGACCAAUCCUUAUAGAGCUUCUCCUGAUACCUGCCAGAGACAACAUUCAUCAGGCAUCUGCCAGUCAGCCAAAGAGGCAGGUCUGAAUGAAAGAUCAACCUACUUCACAACUCAGAAAUAUGAAUGAAUUUUAAGAAAAAAUAUCCCACAGCAUCUCCACAAAGACCAAACCUGCAAAUACAUCCAUGAGGAAACUGGGAAAAUGCAAAUCAGAAAGUCAAAGAUUUCAGGGGACUCCAGGCAGCUAUCAGUGGAACAGAGGCAUUGUUACACAAUGGAUGGAAACUGUAGAUUACCUCCUUGUUUCAAACACCUUUUUUUGAGAGCAUUUCAUGCCAUGGGCAGGUGCCAUUUUAACAAUCCUGGAGUUUUAGAUUCUAUACAUGUGCUUUUAUUUAAGAUUAAAUCUAAGUGUAUUUGAACUCUUCAGGGCAGGGAUUGUCUUUGUUCUGCAUAACAGGGCCCUGGGUUUUGACAGAGGUCUCUAGGUGCUACAGUAAUACAAAUAAUAAUCACAGAUGAUUUAUCUGCCUUCUCUUAAAUGUUUUUAUACUGCUAAUGGCUCAGGUUUAAGUGCAAGACCCAUGCCAUUCUUAAUGUAAGGUUCAACGCUUUUUUUUUUUUUUUGCUUCUUUCUUUUUUAAAAAUACCCCACAUGGCCAAUAUGACACUUGGGGGCUUCCAGCAUUGCAAUUCUGCAAUUCCCCCAUUCCCUGGUUCUCCCCUUCUACCUAGCCUUAGUGCACCGCUAUUGAGCGUGGCAAUUACCCUACCUCCCCCCAGAUGCCACUGCCUUAUGGAGCUCAUGAGUGCCAUAGCUCUUUGACUCUCCUAGCCUCUCUUUGCCCAGCAGAGCUUGGACUGAUUGCAGACUCUUCACGUCCCCAGCUUGGAUUGCUCUGUGGAAUGUAGGAGAGAGCUCCAGCAUUCCCAUUUCUUCAUCUGCAUUUUUGGUGGCUGAGAGUUUUGCAGCGCACCCCCACAGCUGUGCUCUCUUUGUGAUGCCUGGAUUACUGUACCAAGCAAUAGCAGGUUUAGUACAUAAGUCUUUACAGUUGGGACUUUUUAAUUCACCUUUGUCCAUGUUUUAGUCUUAUUUAAAUCCAUGUAAAGUUUGAAAAUCAAGCUAUUUUGUUAAACUAGAGAGAACAAAAAAGUCAAAUGCUACGUAAAAUUUCCCAAGUGUCAGAUUGAAGCAUCGAUGGCUUACAAAUGGCCUGAUCAGCUGCCUUCAGCCUUUAAAAAACCUUUGAUUGUACCCUGGA